CCGGUUGCAGUUCCAGGCUCAGCUGCCGGCCGAAGGCGUCCAGGCGGAGAGAGAGGAAGGGAGAGGGAAAGAUAGAAACAUCAAUGAUGAGAGAGAAUCAUCGAUUGUCUGCCUCCUGCGUGUCCUCUGCUGGAGAUGGAGCCCAGCAAGAACCAAACCCUGACCUCCUGGUUCAUGGGUGAACACUCAACCGUUGAACCAUAGCAGCCAGGUGGCUGAGUAUUAGAUUGAAGGGGCUGUUCUGGACACAUAGGCACCGACUUCUGAAUGGGAAAGGCAUGAAGACUUGGAAAACAAAACAACAAGAAAAAUAACAAUGAAAAUAAAUUCAUCUUCCCCACCCGAGGAAGAAGAGUCCCUAGAGUCGAAGCUGGCGCACCAUGUGUAUUAGGACUGUAUGACUUAUUGUCUGUGGCUUGUUUUGUACUCAAAUGAAUAUUGAGGGUAAUGAUUUCUACUUGAUUGUUAACUACUAUGCUUUUAUAUUUCUAAACAUUGUUGUUUUUAAAAUGAAUACCUCCAUUGAUUUGAAUGUUGAAAUAUGGUUGCAAAGAAAAAUAAACUUUAAAAUGCUGAUAACCAAA